GAGUAGGCGCGAGCUAAGCAGGAGGCGGAGGCGGAGGCGGAGGGCGAGGGGCGGGGAGCGCCGCCUGGAGCGCGGCAGGUCAUAUUGAACAUUCCAGAUACCUAUCAUUACUCGAUGCUGUUGAUAACAGCAAGAUGGCUUUGAACUCAAGGUCAGGAGUUUGAGACCAGCCUGACCAAUAUGGUGAAACCUUAUCUCCACUAAAAAUACAAAAAUUAGCCAAGCGCGGUGGCGGGUGCCUGUAAUUCCAGCUAUUCAGGAGGCUGAGGCAGGAGAAUCACUUGAACCUGGGAGGCGGAGGUUGCAGUGAGCUGAGAUCACGCCACUGCAUUCCAGCCUGGGAGACAGAGCUGGCUCAAAAAAUAAAUUAAUUAAUUAAAAACAAAAUUGGAGAUGCACUAUGUUAUUUUCAAAACAAGCUGCCUUUAAAGAUCUAUCUGUUGUCACAGGGUGGGCUCAUCUGUUUCAUUUUAUUUUCUGUGGUUUAUCUAUUUAUUCAUUUUAAUGAACUAGGAAGCAUUGCUCCUAUUUAUGGCAUACCACAUGAUGUUUGGAUACGUGUAUGCCUGUGGCAUGGCUAAGUCAAGCUAGAACAUGGGCCUUACCUCAUAUACGUGUCUUAUUAAGAACACAUAAAACCUACUCUUGUAGUGAUUUUCAAAUAUGCAACAUAUAGUUUAUUAACUGCAGUCACUAUGAUGUACAAUAGAUUGCUCGAACUUAUUCCUCCUGUCUAACUAAGAUUUUGUGACCUCUGACCAACAUCUCCCCAGUGUUGUCACCCCCCGCCCCCAGCCUCUGAUAGCUGCCUUUCUACUCUCUGCUUCUGUGAGUUUGAUGUUUAUACAUUCCACAUGUAAGUGGCCUCAUGCAGUGUUUCUGUCUCUGUGUCUGGCUUGUUCACUUAGCGUAAUGUCCUCCAGCUUCAUCUAUGUUGUUGGAAAUGACAGGAUUUCCUUCUUUCUUGUGGCUGAAUAGUAUUGCCUUGUGCAUAUACACCACAUUUUCUUUAUCCCUUCAUUCACUGAUGGACUCUUAGGUUGAUGUCAUGUCUUGGCUGUUGUGAAAAAUGCCGCAGUGAGCGUGGGCGUGCAGGUCCCUCUUCAACACACGGAUUUCCUUUCCUUUGGAUAUAAACCCAGCAGUGAGAUUGCUGGAUCACAUGGCAGUUCUGUUUCUCACCUUUUGAGGAAACUCCAUACUGUUUUCCAUAAUGGCUGUAGCAACUUCCACUCCCACCCCCACGGUGCAAAGUCUCCAUUUCUCUUCUACAACCUCACCAACUCCUGUUAUUUUCCAUCUUUCUGAUAGUAGCCAUUUGAAGAGGUAUGAGAUGAUACCUCAUUGUGGUUUUCAUUUGCAUUUUUAUUUGUAUUUUUCAUGAAUUUUUGAGGGUGAUUUCAAGGGUAGUUAGUGACUCGAACAGGGAAACGAUCCUGAGUAUGAGGGUUGUGCUAAUCAUCCCCCUCCUGCCAGCUGCGUACGGAAUGGGGCUCUGCAGAUGGCAGGGAGCUGGCUCGUUUCUCUUUAAGAGCUGCCUUUUACUUUUCUUCCUCUUCCUUUAAAACUUAUUUCCUGGCCGGACGCAGUGGCUCAUGCCUGUAAUCCCAGCACUUUGGGAGGCCGAGGUGGGCGGAUCACGAGGUCAGGAAUUCCAGACCAGCCUGGCCAACAUGGUGAAACCCCGUCUCUACUAAAAAUACAAAAA
rnacentral:lncRNA from 1 species